rnacentral:misc_RNA from 1 species
AACCAUAGAAACCUGCGGAGUACCUGCGGAAGGAUCAUUACAGAGUUGCAAGACUCCCUAAACCAUUGUGAACGUUACCUAAACCGUUGCUUCGGCGGGCGGCCCGGGUCCUUCCCGGCGCCCCUCGGCCCUCGCGGGCGCCCGCCGGAGGUAAACCAAACUAUUGCAUUGUAUGGCCUCUCUGAGUCUUCUGUACUGAAUAAGUCAAAACUUUUAACAAUGGAUCUCAGAUCGGAAGAG